GUCUGAGCUGAGAUCAGGGCAUUCUAACAUUGCGUAUGCCCUUACCCCUGUGAUGCCCCAGGUCUCAGAACUAUAGAUAGUCUUAUGCAAUGCUUUUUAAUUAAUUAAUUAUGAAUUAUUACUUAACUAAUUACAUUUCUAGAUAUCUAGAUUAUCUCACUAUCACCUGUCACAUAGAUAAAAGCCAGCUAGUGUAUUCUAGCUUCACCCAUUGCUUAUCUUCAGGUUAAAAACAUGGGCACAUUUGGUUCUUUGUUUUUAACUUGUGGGCUCUGGGGUACAUUGAAACCCUUUAAGUCAGGGAUUUUCAAACUUGGGUCCCCAGAUGUGGUAGGACUACAACUCCCAUCAUUCCUCGGAUCUCUCGGCGGCUUUUGAUACUAUCAACCAUAGUAUCCUUCUGGAAUGUCUGAGGGUGUUGGGGGUGGGAGGCACUGUUUUAGAGUGGUUCCGCUCCUACCUCUCGGACAGGUUCCAGAUGGUGUUGAUUGGAGAUUGUUGCUCUUCAAAAUCUGAGCUUAAGUAUGGUGUCCCUCAAGGCUCCAUACUUUCUCCAAUGCUUUUUAACAUCUACAUGAAACCGCUGGGAGAGAUCAUCAGGGGAUUUGGAGCAGGGUGUUACCAGUAAUCUGAUGACACCCUGAUCUUCUUCUCUAUGUCAACUUCUUCAGGAGCCGGCAUAUCCUCCCUAAAUGCCUACCUGGAAGCAGUAAUGGGCUGGAUGAGGGAGAAUAAACUGAAGCGGAAUCCAGAUAAGACAGAGCCACAAUUGAACUUCUAAUGGAUCUGGAACUUCUAAGCCAGAGUUACUGGAAUGAUUUAUAAAUGGCAGCAGUUCAAAAGCAUAACUGUGUAGUCACCCAGCGUCAGCUUUUCAUCAGAGUUGACUCUAAAGAUGGAACAAAUGAAUGGAGACGUGUGACUUGGGAAGAGUGGCACAGGUGCUGCCGCUGCCUACAUGCUAACAGGAUGGUUGGCCCCGCUCAGUAAUUAAUUGAAUUGGAAGUCAAUUUGCACUUCUUCACAACCAAGAGGGGCAGAGGAAGGAGUAGCAGCUGCAGCUGCCUAAGACCUCCUGCUGACCAGCUAAGCUUCAAUGAAAACAAGGAGAGGCUACUGUUGGACAAGGAAGCUGAAAAGAUGUCCCUUUAAGGACAAUGUAGAACUGGUUCUAGCUGAUCCUAGCCAGCAGAGCUAGGCUAGACUGCUUGGAGCCCAUGAUUCUUUCACAUCAGUAAUAAAACUGAUUCAGGAGAUAUGAGGUACAAAUGGUAACCAAAAAAGAUUGAUUAAAAGAAAGUCUGAUGUGAUCAAUAGAGGGACUUGCAGACAUGGAACAUCUGAACAUCCCUACAGUACAGAACUGUCUCUGGAGGAACUUGUUAAAGAUUCAGAGUUGUAACAUUUGCAUGAAGACAGUGAAUUAUGAUGAGAAAAUAAGCCAAAAAUAACUAUAUUCCUAAAUAUUUCUGGAUCAGAAGCACAUUGUAAGAGUACAUUGGAAGGCUAGACUGUAAAGAGAAGCUAUGAUACACUUUUGCAGAAGUUUGAAUCAUGUUAUGUUCCAAAGAACAGUGAAAUAUUUCUGAAGGAUACAAAAGAAGGUUAGAGGAAGGCGCUGGAUGUGUGUGUGUGUGUGUAGUGGCUGUGAUCCAUCAGAGCAACAUCUCCUUUACCAGGAUCUCUGUGAGACAAUUGGACCAUAUUGAGUGUGCGUAUCUUGGCCUGGGAACUUGGGAUAGAUUAGAGAUUCUAUUGAUGUACCAAGCACCCUGUUGCCCAAUGAAAUCCCUAACUGAUCUGAUGGAGCUGGUCGUAGAGCUGGUGUUGGAGUUGCCCAGGCUUUUGGAGUUGGGUGACUUCAAUGUUCACUUUGGGUCUGGCUUGUCUGGUUCAGCUCAGGAGUUCAUAGUGGCCAUGAAUACUAUGGGCUAGGGAUGUGCAGGUUCGACCACGAACCUGUUCAAGGUCAAACCGAUUUGGUUCGACCAUUCGGGGUUUAACUAACCCCCUCAUUUGGUCCGACCUUGGACUGAACCCCCCUAACAGUUUGGGUUUUUUUUGUCCCAUGCAGAGGCCUAUUGCGUAUGUGCCCAGCCCCAACAUGGCUGCCGCCCUGCCAGGAGAAGGCCAAAAACCGGCCGAAGACCGCUCGAAUGGGCGCAGAGCUGGCCGAACCAGCUCUUUGGGGGCAUAUGGAAGGCCGGCGGGGGAGAGGGGACCCCCCUGCCACCCCCAGGAGCCCCGUGGAAGGCUGCAAAGGUUAUUAUUUAAAAAAAACCCUUUAAACAUUCGUGAACCCCCUCAAACCGAACCAAACUCGAGGGGGGUUCGCCAGGGUGCUGGACCAGACUGGCCCAGUAGGCUUCGCGUGCAGUUUGCACUCGAACCGAACCAGACCAGCCGGUUCCGUGCACAUCCCUACUAUGGGCCUAUCC